CUUAUACUCCCUCCGACCCAUAUUUAGUGGCUUUCUAUUACAUCUAUCUAGACAUUUUUUAGACAUAGAUACAUCCAUAUUUAGACAAAUUUAAGUCACUGAAUAUGGAACUGAGGGAGUAGAAA
rnacentral:pre_miRNA from 1 species